CCCCAGCUUAACAGCAGUAACGCCAUUUUGCAAGGCUGUACUUAAGAUGACUGGUUCAGGGAAAGGUUAGAACACUGAGUACACAGCGGCUGCCAAGCAAGAUAUGUUUGGUUGAAGGCCUGGCAACAGGACGACUUCGGUUGAGCACCUGACAAUGAAAAAAAGCCCCAGGAGAGGUCCCACACCCUGGUGGGGGGCCGAGUCAGUCGUUAUGUUUCAAGAAGGUAGCUAAGAAACUUGCCCCCGGGCUGAACCCUUGGGGGGCCGAGUCAGCCGUUAUGUUUCAGGAAGGUAGCUAGGAAACUUGCCCCCGGGCUAAACCCUUGCCAUAUUAGAAUCCACCAAUUAUAUCCCUGUAACCAUGCAUCUGCUUCUGUAUGCUUGCUUCUGCUCCCCAAAAUCCUAUAAAAGCCCAUCCUUGGUUCUGUGGGGCGCGCCAGUCCCCCGAGUGACUAAAGCGCCCGCAGGUGCCUGUGCCUGUGUAUCCCGACAAUAAACCAAAUCCUCUUGCUGAUUGCAUCCUGUGGUGUCUCGGUCUGGUCUUUUAAGUUGGAGGGUCUCCAUCCCGAGGGAAAGUUCUCCCUGAGAGCUUUUCAUUUGGUGCAUUGGCCGGGAAAGGAGAUCCUCCACCCAGGGACCACCGACCACCCACUGGGAGGUAAGCCGGCCGGCGUCUGUCUGUCUGUCUGAUUUUGUCUCGUUCUGCCUUAUUCUGUCUGUUCUGUGAGCGCUCAGCCAGGUCUGUUCUGUGAGCGCUCAGCCAGGUUCUGUGAGCGCUCAGCCAGGUCUGUUCUGUGAGCGCUCAGCCAGGUCUGUUCUGUGAGCGCUCAGCCAGGUUGUUUGGAAUUUGGGCGGGACGAAGAAGGAGCUGACGAGCUCGGACUUCUCGCCCCGCAGCCCUGGAAGACGUUCCAAGGGUGUUAGGGGCCCGACUUUUCGGGGCCCAAUCUGGGAGAGGAGAAAGAUCCGGACUAACGGCACUCUGUCUGUAUUUUUGGCUUUCAGAGGGCCCUGGACCUUUGCCACCUCCAUCUGACUUUUUGCUUUCAGUUUGGUACCAAAGCCGUGCAGCACGCCUGUCUGUUGUUUGUUUGACUGUUGGUGUUGUUUGUUUUCUCUGUGUUCUAAUCUUCCUUAGAACUAACAUGGGACAGUCCCUAACAACGCCCCUAAGUCUCACUCUUGAUCAUUAGAAAGACGUCCACGACCGGGCACACAACCAGUCCGUCGAGGUUAAAAAAAAAAAAAAAGGAAAAUGGCAGACUCUCUGCACAUCCGAGUGGCCCACUUUCGGAGCGGGAUGGCCAGUGAAUGACACAUUUAAUAAGAUCAUUAUUUUACAGGUUAAAGAUUGGGUCGUCCACGGACAUCCUGACCAGGUUUCUUAUAUUAUCACUUGAGAGAGUCUCGCCUUAACCCCCCCCCCCCGGGCAGAACCCUUCCUGGACCCGAAUUGGCCUCCCCUCAACCCCCAGCCUGUCCCCUCGGCCCCGCCCGGUCCGCCGGCCACGUCUUCCUCUCUCUACCUUUGUGAAAUCAGAGCCUUCUAAGAAACCUGUCCUCCCGGCAGACCCAAACUCCCCUCUCAUAGAUCUUCUCUCUGACAGGCCCGGCUGAAACGG
ensembl:lncRNA